ACUACCUUAUCCCCCAGUACUCUCUCGGUCUCUCCUCUCCUCUCCACUCACCCAACCUCUCUCGCUCCCGGUCUGCCCUCCCUCCCCCCGGCGCAUCCGCCGCGCGUGUCGAUGAGCUCCUGCCGCAACCGCGCGACUCCGACCAUCGACCACCGCAUCUGCCGCAUGCAUCGGCAAGUUGCCGCGCGAGGAAGAUCGCCACUGGUCCCGCAGCAGCCUUAGUUGGAGGAGGACGAUAGGUCCAUGGCGACGGAUGCUCAAGUAAGAGGAGCGGCCCCAAUGGUGGCGGCCUCGAGCACCAGGAUAAGUGCAAGCUGGGGAUGCAGGAGAGGUGCAGCGCGGGGCUCGGGGCUCCGACGAGCUGGGUGCGGCGCGACGGACGACGAUGGACGCAGGGACACGUUGAUCCGGGCGCGGGUGCUCAAUCCGGUCCCGUUCCGGCCGGAUCCGCGGCGGUGCUCAUCUCCGGCGAGGUGGCCGGUGACUCGCGGGACGACGGCGGCGCAAGACCACGGGAGGAGCUCAUCUCAUGGGGCUAGGGCGCGAGGUCCUGUUGGCUUCGGUUGCCGGUGGCUUGACGCAGGGGUGGCGGGGGUCCGGCAUCAUGGAGGCUCUUCGAGGGCGAGGAAGCAGACGGCCACGGCAACUUUGAGGCCGGCGGGGGCACCGUCUCCGCGUUCGAUGGUCGUGGUGAAUGUCGUGGGCUCCAACGCGGCCGCCGUUGGCUCUAUCCCCUAUAGGGCAUUACUCAAGUGAGCUGAUGAAGUAAGAGGAAUCCAGAGGCGUGGGAUUUGCACUGUGUAUCACUUUAAGCAUGGUUGGCCGCAUCGUUGGCUCCUCUUGAAAGCACAUGUACUACUUGCACCAAGAGUUCUGCAGCAAGAAUUUAACAGUCGAAAAACCGUAUCAACUAUAUGUAUGCCCCAAUGCGAUCAACAACAAGAAAUUAUGCUCGCAAUUACCUGGCACUGGCACUGGAGUCAUUCGGGAAGGAUGCUCAAGAUUAGGAAUGUCACCAAGAGGGGCUCGGCUAGAGUUAUCACCAAGAGGGGAUCGGCACAGAUUUGUCGCCUCCAUAUCUUCAAGCGUCAUGGUCUGUCGGCGCUUGUAACGAAAUAAAAUAAACCAUUAUUAUUUCUGUGAACUGUACACAUUAAAUAUAUACCGGGCCAAAAUCUAACUUUGAAGCAUGCGAUCAGGUUUUUGACCAGGUAUAUUUGUCUUGAAUGGAAGGACAAACACAAAGAAUCAUUACAUCAAGAAGCUAUCAGGCUUGAGGGCCUCACAUAUUUUCAUGACGCUUUCUGAAUAUGAGCCAGAGCUAUUUCCUAGUCUGAUUUCUCCUGGGUGUACUCUGCUUUCUGGUGUCUGAUUUGAUGACAAGAAUAUUGUGUCGACGGUCAGCGCCUGGAUUGUAAAUUGGACUUGAAAGCAAUAGCUCUCUAGGCACGCAAUGCAGAUUAUAACCCCAAGGUAAAAUCAUUAUCCUAAUGCAUUCUUCAUGAUGUUGGCUUUUCCCCCUUACUGGGCCUGUGAUGCUAUAUUUCCAAAAACAUCCAAAUUUUAUCACUUUGCUAGCAUCCACAUGUCUUUGUGAAUCCUGCUGUGUAGAUGGUGGAUAGCCUGGUAAAAGAGUAGAGACUUUGUACAUGGGUUCUUUUGUGUAUGUACCCUUCUGAAUUUGUGCUCAUUCGCUGAGAAAUUAGAGAACACCAGCUUACUAAAUAAUUUUUGAUCGAAUGGUGAGUUGAGACUCUCUACCUGACUGCCUUUUAGGCUUUAGCAUGAGGGUAAAGGUUAUUCAAGCAUAUAAACGGUCAACUAAUAAUAUGAAGGGUUAUACCACAGAAAAGUCAUUAUACCUGGAAGCUGACAAUCAAGCAAUAACCUUAGGGAAUCUACAACUAAAGCAUGCAUGACAUCCACCUAAACAAAAUUUAGACAUGUACUCCCUCCGUCCCAUAAUGUAAGACGUUUUUUGACACUAGUGUAGUGUAAAAAAACGUCUUACAUUAUGGGACGAAGGGAGUACAUUGCACACACAUAUUUCAGCAUACAUUGAGCCAAAAAAAUCACACACCGUGGCCUUCUACCCUACUACUUGCUGAACAAAAUUCAUUCGUCGCACACAUUAGCCUGUUGCAGUACUACUUGCUGAAGCUGCUGAGAACGCACAAUCAACAAGAACAACACAAAAUCGUGAAAGAGAGGGUCGAUGACUCGAGGUAAUCAGUUACCAUGUCUAAUUGUGAUCUGGUGGGGAAGAGAAGCUGGAUUGGCAAGGAAGAGAAGCUCCAGCCAGCGACAAGGAAGAGAAGUAAGACCCCAACGGCGGUGCUGAAUCAGAGAAGGAUCCAGCAGUGCAAUGCGGUGGCAGUGGAAGCGGCACGAUCCAGUAGUGCAUGGCGGCGGCGGCACAACAGGAGUAGUGCGCGGCCUCUCCUCCCCGACGGAACCGGCGCCCCACCUGCCUCUCUGAUGGUACCACACACCCGCAACAUCCCUCUUCCCUCCAGUACAUAAUUAGCAAUUGCAUCAACCAGGCAUCAAUUGUUCUAAAUCAUCCAUCAAACCAUAUUCUAGGGACUAAUAGAAAGUUACCUUUUGAGGCAAAAGCUUCAGCUCAAACAUGAUGAAUUUUGGCCUGAAUCUUGGCUAACUCAUCUCCUUUCUUUUGUCCCCCAUAGUCUUCUCUCUCCCUGGCUAUUUCCCCUAGAUGUGUUAGCACAGGAGUAGCAGCUCACCUCUCAAGGCCCCUCUCUCUGCUCCAUCGCAUCUGUGAUCCACUUCUAUAAAUGCGGGCAGACAACAUCACCUAAUCUUGCAUAAUCUAAACCAAGACCGCAUCAAAGAACCAGGUUAGAAUCAAAGGAGGGAGACAGGAGGGAAGUAAAUGCAUAAUCAGUUAUCUGCUUGUAACUCAAGGAAUUAUACCGCAACAUUUCCUCAAGUGCAGGCAAACUCGAAUGAUGUGCCGCUUGAUGAAACAUCUGCUUUUAACUCCGGAACUCAUGCUUCAGCAUAUGUUCCAUUGUGGGAUAAUCCUACACUUGGGAGGCAAGCCCAAGAUCACAUGAAGGUGUCAUUUGCAUUGCAACUGAACACUACAUAUCAGUAGUUCAGAUGUUUCCUCUUUGAUCACAUGAAGGCCCAUUCUUUAUCCCAUCUGCUUGCAGCGUCCCUAAAAAAAUCCCCUAGCAGCAUACAUCGUGCGCCUCCGCCGCCAGCCCACAACGGAGUCCCGGCCGCCGGCUCCCCGGUGCUCUCCGCCUCCCCGAAAGGCCGUUUCUCACCACCUUCCCGUACUCGCCGGCUCUUCGCACCUCCGAGGUCUCAGCUCUCCCAAAGAUCCUCUCCAACUCGGAGUUCCUCGCGUAGGGCACCGGCUCACACCGGCGUGCGGAGGCGAGGCAUGCCGCCGCUCCUCCGACCAGCCAACCAUAGCGGCGUGGCUCCUUUGACAAGCGGAGGGGCUCUCCUCUCCCACUGGUCGGCCUUGACUUCGACUCCUACAGCUGCACCUCGACUUCAGGUCACACCGGCCAGCAUUCUCCAUUGCCAAAUCUUAACCAUACCGAGUUCCUCCGACCAUCGUCGUGAAUCUCCAAUCAGAUAAGUCAGCCUUCAUGUGUAUCGCCCUUUAUAUCUCCACUCCGUUCCUCUUUGUUUUGAUAUAUAUCUCCACUCUGUUCUGAUUGUCAGGAAGAAGGUGGAUUGGUGGCCGUUUCCAGUAUGUACAUGGGACGACAACGGUUGUUCCUUGGUUGAAGGAUGCAAUGCAUCUCGCUGAAUUGCAAGUUGUACUAUUUUGGGUCUGCCUAGAUACCCAAGCAGGGGAGAUAAAAGCUACAAGUUGGGAAGAAAAGCCAGGGAUGAUUCUCAGUGGUACUCUUUACUUGGUAUUUGAUGAUUACUCUUUACUUGGUACAAGGUUCUUGAUGAUUUUAAUAGUCUGACCCUGCUGUAGAAAGCACUUCACAUACAUGCCUGGAUGUGUUCGAGAUGCAUUGCAGUGUGUAUUCAUAGGUGGCCACGAAGGGCGACUAAAAGUAAUUCUGGGGAUCGAAAUCAGAUCGAGAUGCAUCUGCCUGAAUAUAAAAUAUAAGGCAAAGUUCAAUGUGUGCCCCAUCAUUGGCCCUGAUCUCUCUAUCUUCUUAGCCCUCCCAGUGCCCGGCCACUUUCAGUGGUUCUCCACUAAUUUCUCCUCUUUACCAAUCGAAUACGUUCAUCUAAUUCAUGUUUUAUAACAAAAAGAGGGGCCAUGCAGAUUAAUUCUUUACAUCGGCUCAAGUCUUAUUACUAGAAAUUGAUCUUUCUUCUCAAUUGAUUUAUCUAAUGUGGUUGUAGGACUUGCAGCCAAUAUAAAGAGAAGGAGAUUUUUCUUCCAAAUGCUAUAGUUGCACUUCACAUCAUUGGGAUCGUGGAUGUUGAUACCAAUUGGAUGUGCUCCCGUGUUGUCCCAAGUGCAGCAAUUUCUCGCUGAUGCAUCAGGCAAAGAUUUUUUUACCCAAAAGGCAAAGAUACAUAGCUAGCAGUUUAUCAGCGGAUGACUCUUGCUUUGUUGAUUGUUGUGCUUAAUCAAUAUCCUUACAGGUAACUCACAUGCCACCAUGAUCCAGUAUGAUAUUUGUUCAAAUGUAUAACAUACAUAUCUAUUUUUUCUUUCUAUGCUUGCACAUCUCCGAAGUCUAGACCAGAAUGCUGCUUUUAAUUAUGUUGGCUAUGCAUGCAUGUAAUGUGUGUUGUACAACUAUUUAGUAAAGCGUUCAUUGUAUUCUUUGCACAUGCCAUUUCCAACCUCUUCGAAAGCAUAUAUGUCAACCUGCUACUAAUCCAUACGUUUUAUAUACUUACAUUACUAUAUUUAUAAUUUAUUAUUAUUUUGGAACAGUUUCUGGGUAUAUCAGGACGUACCAAGUCAGUUUGAUAGAACUGAUUUGUGAACCCAGAUUAAUUGCAGAGCCAUACCUAAUUUUCAAAAGACUUGAGGGCUUUAAUAGACAGUGGGGCCUUUUUCCUCUAAUCAAUGUAGAAGUAUUUGAUCUUGCCUCAAAAAAGGUUACAUUGCCCUAGAUUAUAUGUGAAAAUUUAGUUAGCUUAUUUGUGUAUAAAUUAUGAAGAAUAAAACUAUGUUAUAAUCUGAAAAGAAAAUGUAUAGAGACAAGUAGAAAGUAAUGUGGAUUCGAACUACCCCGGUUAUAUAUUAAGACUAUUACAUCAUUGACCUUGCCGCGAACUCUGGAUAUUCUCGACUCUAGGUCCACAAAGUUCGUGUAUGCCAUACCUCUAAAAGUAAUGUUAGUGUUAUGAUUCAUUAGUAAAGCUUCUCCUCUAUUCAGAUUGAAUCUGAGAAGCCUAACAGCGAGCAAAUUCCUCUGUGUUGCUUCAGUUAUAUGGCUCGAGCUGGCCAAACCUGAAAACUUCAGUGAAGAGUGAAAGUACAUCUAAAGUACUUUCUGUUACCUACAAUCCUAUUACUUGAUUUUUAUGCUACUGUGCGUAUGGGUGAAUCUGCAAGAUGAUGCAAAAAUUUGCUUGCAGAUAGCAUGUGUGUAUGUGUACAGAUAUGCAUGUUGUAUGUUUAUAUCAAUUUUGCAACAUUGAUAUUUGUUCAGAUGGUUCUAAAUAGUUCUUCAGUGAAGAUUAAGAGUACAUCUACAUUACAUUUUGUUGCCUACCCUAUUAAAUGAUUUUUUUUGCUAAUUGUGUGUAUGGGUAAAUCUGCAAGAUGAUGCAAAAAAUUGCUUGCAGAUAGUCUGUAUGUGUACACAGAUGCUUCUAAGCAGUGCUCUAGCAGAAUAGUGCUCCCCUUUCCUUACUGUUGUUGCUAAAUAUUUGUUUUUUGUGGCAUAUGAGGACUGAACAGUAUCAGGCCAUCGACCUCACCCUGGGAGUCCACUUCUUCACGGUCACGACAUCCACCUUGACAUCCCUAUUUUGUGUUGUUUAGUUGCAUGUGGUUCAUGCAAACUUCCUGAAGCAUUUUAUUGAAAUUGGAUAGAACUGAGAAAAUCUAUGUAUACGUACAAUGUUGUUUUCCUUUUUCUAGCAGUUGAGUUCCAGAGACGAAUGGGGAUUGGGGAGGUGAACUUUGAGCUGGAACUCUCUAUGUGUUCUUGCAAUCAUAAUGCCGGGGGAUUAUAAGACAACAUACAGUUUGUUCAUUUUCUUUUGGAGGUAUGUGAACAUUGAUUCAUAUGAUUAGUCGGUACUUAAGAACAGGGAUACCCACACUUUACAUGAUAAUCCAAAAGUUCAGAUUUUAACUAAAGAUGUUAAGCUAUGAGGAGAACCUUAUUGGCUCAGCCAUCAUAUUUUGUUUUAGGUAGGUAAUCAUUAGUUCAUAUUGCUGAGCAGGCAAAGCCAUGGUGUACGAAUGGCUCAAGCUAUUCUGAUAUUUGAUAUAGAUUUAAAUGACCAGGAGAGCCUAAAAAUAGUACUAUGCGGAAAUGCAGGGAAGACCUAAUAUGUUCUCAUUUGAGAAAAAUAAAACUCCCUACUUUCCAACUAUUGAUUUCAUUUGUACAUGUAAAAGAAACUAUAUUAGACAAAUAUAUGAUUGAUCAGGUUCAAUGAAGGUUAGCUUAAAUACCAUGUAUUUUUCUGCACAAAAAUUACUGCCUAUUGUAUGCCAUCCUCUUUACAUUUGUUAGUCUAUAGUCAAGUACAAAAAUAAAAUUAGUUCAGUAAUGCCUUUGCUCCAUACGAGCAAACAGUUGUUGUUAAUAAAAGGAAAACAGACUAUUGAUUUCAUUAGUUUGCAGGAAAAUCACUGUAUUUUAACACUUAUGCAAAACGAACUUUAAAUCACGAGAAAUGUUGAUUUUUUAAUAAAAGAUCUUGAGGGUGAGAGAAUUUUCAGCAAAUUCAAAGGAAUAGCUAAAGUACCAUAUAUAGAGGGUGACACAUGUGGUAAUUAACAUAACAUGGAUCUUGCCUUAAUUUUCUUAUUCAAGGAGUACAAUUUGUGUAGGAAAGUCAUUAGAAAUGAGUGCUAUCAUUUGUCAUACCAUGGAAGUACGUUUUGAAGUUUUCUUACUGUAAAGAUUUUUCUUCAACAUUUAUGAGUUGGCUAGCAAAAUUAUGGUAACUGCAAUUCACAUCAGGUAUAAGGCGACACAUAGGGCCGUCAUCUAGGUGCGUACAUCUUAAUCUCAUUUUCAGUGACGGUUGCUUUGCUAUCUUAUAAAUUGAUUAUGGCAGAAUGUAGAAACCAUGUGGUGCUUGUGGCGUUUUUUUCCUGUUAUUAUAGAUAUGUUCCGAGCAAUUUAAGGAUUCUUUUUGUAAAGUUCAUCGUGCUUAGGGUACAAUAUUUGCAGUAUAAUUUCUACUAAAACCAUCAUUCUGUACGCCUUUUCUUUCCCUACUUUUCGUACAGCAAACUGAUGGAUCGACUAACCACAAACUUAGCAUGUGGUAUGCAACAUGCUUAGUACAGCGCCUUCUAACCAUGCAAUAGCAGUUCCCACUCCAUGCUACUAUUAUGUACACAGACGGGAAGUUUGUUUGAGAAAGAGGAGUAUGUUUCUACUAUUUCCUAUGUGGAACUAACAAUUCACGCCUCUAGCUUCUACUCCCUUUGUAAACUAAUAUAAGAGCGUUUAGAUUACUAAAGUAGUGAUCUAAACGCUUUUAUAUUAGUUUACGGAGGGAGUACUACUUUAUCGUUUUGCACAAAAGCUUUUAUAACCAUGAUGCUGAUAAAUAUGUGAUAGGUACUUCACGUGCUACCACAUUAGUAGGGUGAUUUCAAUAAGAGUACCAGAAUUUAUAUUCUUCUGCAUUAAGAUAAUAUUCACUAACGGAGUUCUAUUUUUUUUUACAAACCAGUUCAUUCGCCGCGAGGAAAAAAUCUACUUGCUGCCUGAGAACCAAAGCCACAAUAGAUCAAGUUACUUGGUCGGAAGAAAUUGUCAAGGGCUGCAGCUUACACAUGAUCGGGGGUGGCGAUCUUAGUCUAUCUCACCUGAGUUACAUGUUAUAAAAAAUAGUAUAGAUGUAGAACAACCUACAGUAUAAUUGUACGUCUCAACUAUCUGUCAUAUGUCUUACUAACAUACCUUUUUUUGAACCGGUCUUAUUAUUAUAUUUUUUUGAAGCGGUCUUACUAUUA